rnacentral:rRNA from 1 species
CCUACGGGUGGCAGCAGUGGGGAAUAUUGCACAAUGGGGGAAACCCUGAUGCAGCGACGCCGCGUGAGUGAAGAAGUAUUUCGGUACGUAAAGCUCUAUCAGCAGGGAAGAAAAUGACGGUACCUGACUAAGAAGCCCCGACUAACUACGUGCCAGCAGCCGCGGUAAUACGUAGGGGGCAAGCGUUAUCCGGAUUUAAUGGGUGUAAAGGGAGCGUAAACGGCAGCGCAAGUCUGGAGUGAAAUCCCAUGGCUUAACCAUGGAACUGCUUUGGAAACUGUGCAGCUAGAGUGCAGGAGAGGUAAGCGGAAUUCCUAGUGUAGCGGUGAAAUGCGUAGAUAUUAGGAGGAACACCAGUGGCGAAGGCGGCUUACUGGACUGUAACUGACGUUGAGGCUCGAAAGCGUGGGGAGCAAACAGGAUUAGAUACCCCCGUAGUC